AAUGAUCUCGUUUGAGAGAUUGAAAUAAUAAAAAGUGAAGAAAAAAGAAAAACAAAAAAAAAAAAACAAGAAAGAACAACAAGAACAAGGAACAAGAAAAAAGAUUAAUAAAAAAACAAUAAGGCAAAAGAACAAUAAAUAACAACAUAAGAAAAGAUCAAGAGCAAAGAAUAAUAAAAAAGACUAAGGGUAAAGAACAAGAAAAAAAAACAAUAAGAAAAAAGAUCAAGAAAAGAACAACAAGAAAAAGAACAAUAAAAAAACAACAGGAAAAAGGAAUAAUAAAAAACAAGAAGAAAGAAGAUCAAGAAGAAAGAACAAGGGCGAUCGAGAGAACGCGUCAAAGAUGAUAUUCGACGAAGAACAAAAAUUGUAUGACUAUACUUAUAUGGGGAAAACGAGCGAAUAAGUGGUCGUCCGUUCUGCCACGGGACCGAAGAGAUGAUAGGGAAAAGAAGGCUAUGUAUAUAUAUAUAUAUGUAUGUAUGUAUGUAUGUAUAUACGUGUAUGUAUAUAUCUAUGUAUGUAUCUCGAUAAUCCUUCUCUUCUUUGCCUUGAGGCUCCUACUAAAUUUUCGAGAGAAUUUUUAUCGUCGAACGAUGCGUUGAAAAAAGAAAAGAAAAGAAAAAACAAAAAAAAAAGGAAAUAAGAAAGAAAGGAGAGAAAGAAGAAAAACAAAAUAAAUUUUACUCGAAACGAUCGAUGAUAUUAAUUGAUCUUUUUAAAAAGUGAA